GUUAGGGUUAGGCCUAUGCAGUGACGCAUUAACCUACAAACUGAGCUGAGAGAUAAAAUAGCACAUUCUAUAUUAAAAAAUAAGAGAUACUAUAAAAAAAAUGAUAAAGUACUCUGAAUCACUUUUGAUUUACUGUAUACAAACUUAGUAUUAAACAUUGUAUGAUAUGGUAUAAACUUAUAUAUGAAUAAGAAUAUCUUUGCUAUUCGCUUCAAAUAGAGGGCGCUUUAUAUAUAAUUUACUAUAUUAGGCGUCGCAAUGCACACGAGGAGCCUUUUUGGUUUCGUCGGUGAACUGGGAAGAACUGAGAUGGACAGGUGUUGUUAAUGUGUGAUGUUGAAAAUAUUGAUGUGGAAUCUGCUAUGACUCAAUGCAAAUUCAAGAAAUGCUACAUGGAAUUUACAAAUGG